GCGCCCGUAGCUCAGUGGAUAGAGCAGUGGUUUCCUAAACCGCGUGUCGUGGGUUCGAUUCCCUCCGGGCGUACCA
rnacentral:tRNA from 1 species